GUUUCCUUUGCAAGGAAAGAAUGAAAUAGUGAUUGGGAGGGUGCAUUAAGAGCAUGUCUGGAGCAAUGGUAAUGUAUGUAAACUGGUAUUUGCUUUGUAAUAAAUAAAUGAGAAAUGAACUAUGCUUAUGUGUAUACAGUUUUCUGUUUAUGUUCUUUAUUGCAUAAUGUAAAUGUUGGGAAAAAUAACUUGUGGAUAUAGUUAGAUGUCAAGAGUCUGUUUUAAGAAGGCUAAUACUCUGAUGCACUAAUUCCACCUUUACAAAUCUACCUUAUAGACAUAAUCUCUUUUUAAAAAGUCUUACCACUCGAGGCGGGGCGGGGGCAAGAUGGCUGCCUAGAAACACCUGCAGUUGGAGGCUCCCACUGAGAAGAAAGAAAACGGCAAGUUAAUCCUAAACCGGCAACUGAGGUUCUCUCGUUGGGACUGACUAGACAGCGCAACAUAUGGACAGCGGAGAAAAAGCAGAGCGAGUUAUGGCCCACCAGGGAGCAGCAUGGGGCAAGGGGAGCUCCCAUCCCCAGUCAAGGGUGUGUGCUGUUUUCGAAAAAUGGCAGUCAGAGCUCCUGCAGAGGCCUCUCUUAAGGGUCCCUGGCAAAAGGGGCCAUUGUUCCAGGCUCCAGUUGCAUGACCGUUUGGAGUUUGAUGACCUCAAGGCAAGAACAGAAGACAAACCAGGCUAUUAGAAAAUAUGUAUCAAAAUGAAACAAGGUGGGGCAGGAGAGCCAUGGAGAAAGAGAGAUGGAAUCACGGAGAAUGGGAGAUUGGCUUUGCCCUGAAGAGAAAAUGCCCGCAGUGUGACUUGUUUUCCCAUGUUUGCCAGUUCAGCUGAGAGUACAAAAGGAAGCCUACAACACAUCGGACUACCUGGGCUUUCCUCCUAGUGUCAGAGGGGCUUGUAAGAUAGGAUCACCUUUGGGGGAAUCUGGAGCUGUCUAUAGGAACCUCAUGAUGUCUGCUAACUUAAAGUCGUGUUUAAUUGAUUAUGAGGCUUUCAGCUAAGGAGCCUGAGCUCUCUGGAAAGUGUUCUGUCAAUUCCUGCAAAAGCCUUGCAUCAAGCAAACUAUAAAUCCCUAGCGGUAACAUGGAAGCCAAAAUAACAUUAAAAAUGUUCUUAUUGCUAUUGUUAGUGGUGGCCUUAUUCUGUUCUAAGAUUACAUGGGCUCUUAGGAACUUCAGGAAUUCCUGAGAAUUAUUUGUGGGAAAGCAAACAUUUUUAAGCCUCACUAACAAAGGAGAAACAAUUUAUCAGAGCCCUAGUUCAGGAGGGGACCAUCUUUGUUCUACCCCAGCUUUAGCUGAAAAAAUCAUGUUUACUCUCAACUUAAAUAUUCUCAAAAUGUCCAAGGGACCAGGGCUUUACUCUUUGAUUCUAAAUCAUAACUUCUCCAUAAAAUCCUCACUUCCGGAGCUGAUAGUCAAGUCCAAAUCUUAUUAAAGUCUUCAUUCGG
rnacentral:lncRNA from 1 species